UUUAGCACCCCGACCACCCUAACAUCUUGCACUGUCUGGGGGCUCCCCGGGCUCAGCAACACCCACCUCUGUGGCUGGGAGCUGGGCUCAGCCACAUCCCUGCAACUUCUCCGGGACACCGCCAUCCAGCUACGCCAAGGCCUGACGGCGGCUCCAUGUUUCCUGCCAAUGGCGGUGCUAUUAAUUUGUCAAACGCUCAGAGCCAUAUGUGGCUCGAGGCUGCCAUGUUGCACAGUGCAAAUCCACAGAGCGUUUCAUCCAAUGGUAUUGCCCUUGAAGGUGGGCAUUCCACAGCCCGCGGCCCUGACGAGGGAAAUGCACAGAGCCUCCUCCUGACCCGCAGCGCACAUGUGAGGAUUCCAAAUAAAGUUGCAGACUCCAUGUUCUUAGGGGAAGAGAGCGUAACUCCCGCUGCUUAAGUGAAGCCCAUGCAUAGUGACUUUGCUCCAGUGAGUCUGGAAAGCGGGACAAGGGAGUAACUUUCCUGUGGAGAAACCUGGCAGAGGCCACGACCGCCAGAUCAUCAGAAAAACCCCAACUGAGAGAAAUUCUACAGCAUGCCUGACCAUUACUCUUCAAAACUAUCCCAGUCAUCGAAAACAAGGAAAAUCUGAGAAACUGCCAGCAGAGGGGGGUCCAGGGAGAUGUGACAGCUGCAUGCACAGCGGCGUCCCGGAUGGGGUCCUGGAACAGAAAGAUAACAUCAGGUUAGCAACUAAGGAAUCCCAAAUAGGCUAUGGACAUUAGUCAAUGAUUACUAUUACGCAAACAUAUGAUCAUUAUGUCAAGAUAGGGAACAAAUUUCCCAUCUUGUCAAAUAAUUUAUUGAGCAUAUUUAUCAAUUGU